GAUAACCCGCGAAGGCGAUCCGGCAAUAUCUCCACCUUCCGGUCGAUUCACGGCGACGAGCAGGCGGAAUUCUCUUUACCUCAACGGCGCAAAGCUGAAAAUGGACUCGGAUUGCUCAACCAAACCUCCAAGAUAGCAAAACGAGGUCCGAAAGCUACGGAGGUUUCGAUGAAUUUUCCGGCGACUCCAGUCACCGACGAAAGCAACUGGGGUGUACACGGCCACCGCCGGAGUUACUGUGCUCAACUGUUGUUUUGGGAUGUCUUGGUUCGAUUUCGAUACUGAUUUUAGUUCUACAACGAGAAUAUAGACUUGGUUGUGUUGAAUUUCAGAACUUGUGAAGUGGAACGCCAUCGGGGAAAAUGUAACUCUAUUUGCUGAAAUUGGGAAACAGAGAUUGGAAAGCUCAGAACUUGGUGCUUGAGAUCAGUUUCAAUACAACAGCAAAAUUUGAUAAGGAUUUGUCCUCGUGAUUCUUAAAAGGAGAGGUAGUGUUCUGGAAUUUCAUUUGGAUUUGCGCAAGUAGUAGGAUUGUAUGGGACUGUGACCAUGGAAUUAUGUCCUAGGAUUAUAAUUGAUAAUCAUUCAGAGUGGCAUGUUACCUUGAACUUUGACUUAAAA